UACGGAGGGAGCUAGCGUUGUUCGGAAUUACUGGGCGUAAAGCGCGCGUAGGCGGCUUUGUAAGUUAGAGGUGAAAGCCCGGAGCUCAACUCCGGAACUGCCUUUAAAACUGCAUCGCUUGAAUCCAGGAGAGGUGAGUGGAAUUCCGAGUGUAGAGGUGAAAUUCGAUAGAUAUUCGGAAGAACACCAGUGGCGAAGGCGGCUCACUGGAUCUGGUAUUGACGCUGAGA
rnacentral:rRNA from 1 species